rnacentral:rRNA from 1 species
GAACCCCGGGAGGGGAGUGAAAGAGAACCUGAAACCGUAUGUCUACAAGCAGUCGGAGCGAAAGCGACGGCGUGCCUAUUGAAGAAUGAACCAACGAGUUACGUGCACUAGCGAGGUUAAGUGGAAGACACGGAGCCGAAGCGAAAGCGAGUCUUAAGAGGGCGAAUAGUUAGUGUACGUAGACCCGAAACCGCAGUGAUCUACCCAUGUCCAGGUUGAAGCGCAGGUAAAAUUGCGUGGAGGACCGAACCUGUGAGCGUUGAAAAGCUUUAGGAUGAGAUGUGGGUAGAGGUGAAAUUCCAAUCGAACGCGGAGAUAGCUGGUUCUCCCCGAAAUAGCUUUAGGGCUAGCCUCAAGUAGUAAGUAUAGGCGGUAGAGCACUGAUCGGGCUAGGGGCCAUAAAGGUUACCGAACCCUGUCAAACUCCGAAUGGUUAUACUGUAGAGCUUGGGAGUCAGACUACGAGUGAUAAGAUCCGUGGUCAAAAGGGAAACAGCCCAGACCACCAGCUAAGGUCCCCAAUGUCGUACUAAGUGGAAAAGGAUGUGGGGUCUCUAAAACAACCAGGAUGUUGGCUUAGAAGCAGCCACCAUUUAAAGAGUGCGUAAUAGCUCACUGGUCGAGAGACCCUGCGCCGAAGAUUACCGGGGCUAAAGUACGAAACCGAAGCUGUGGCUACGACGUAAGUCGUGGGGUAGGGGAGCGUUCUGUGAGGGCUGAAGUCGUUCUGUAAGGAACGGUGGACUUCACAGAAGUGAGAAUGUUGGUAUGAGUAGCGAAAAGAAUGGUGAGAAUCCAUUCCACCGAAAGCAUAAGGAUUCCUGGGCAACGAUCGUCGUCCCAGGGUAAGUCGGGACCUAAUCCGAGGCAUGGAGCGUAGGAGAUGGACAACUGGCAGAUAUUCCAGUACCGGUAAUGAUUGUUUGAGCGAUGGAGUGACACAGGAGGGCAGGCAGGCAGGAGAUUGGUUGUUCCUGUACAAGCGUGUAGGAUGGGACGUAGGCAAAUCCGCGUCCUGUGAGUCUGAGGCGUGAUGUGGAGGUUCCGGAAACGGAACCGAAGCUGCUGACCCCACACUGUCGAGAAAAGCUUCUAGUUAGAGAAUUACCGCCCGUACCGUAAACCGACACAGGUAUGCGGGGAGAGAAUCCUAAGGUGCGCGGGAGAACCCUCGUUAAGGAACUCGGCAAAAUGUACCCGUAACUUCGGGAUAAGGGUAGCCGCUGUUGUGAAGUCUGUACAGAUGGAGCAUGAGGCGGUCGCAGAGAAGAGGCCCAAGCGACUGUUUACCACAAACACAGGUGCCUGCUAAAGAGAAAUCUGACGUAUAGGUGCUGACACCUGCCCAGUGCCGGAAGGUUAAGGAAGGAUGUCCGGAGCAAUCCAAAGCAUUCGACCGAAGCCCCGGUGAACGGCGGCCGUAACUAUAACGGUCCUAAGGUAGCGAAAUUCCUUGUCGGGUAAG